UGAUCGAAUUAGGUAGCCGCCCCCUCACUUGAAAGUUGCUGGUGUUUAAAAAACCUUUUAGCGCCAAAGGCGCUGGCAAUUUUCAAGUGAGGGGGAGGAAAGUCCGAACAUUCGUCCCGCACCUUUUCUAACGGAAACCUUCCAAAUAAUCUGAACCUGAGGAAUUUUGGUUAGAAAAGGUGCGGGACAAACGCAACGGUUAAAAGCCGCCGGACUAGCUUGAAGCUUUUAAUGGUAACAUUAAAAGUAGUAGCUGGUUUAGGGGUGCGAACAGAGACGAUUUUUGACUAAAGUCAAAAAUUACCCUCCGAAACUUUAUGCGUAAGAGGAUAAGCUCCGAUGGUAACAUUGGAGGUGAAACGGCUAAAUCCCUGCGGAAUGCAAGAUCCGUGCCCCCUCACUUGAAAAGUUUAAGAUGCGAAGCAUCUAUUUGAAUCCUAUCUAAAUGGAAAAUAGUUGCUCUUAUUUAAAGUUUUGUGAGAAUACGCUACUUUUACUAGAUGAUUCAAAACUUUUCAAGUGGGGGGGAGUGAUCGCUGGACCCUGAGAGUAAUCGAAGGGCUAGAUAAAUGGCUACCCACGACAGAAUUCGGCUUAUCAAUUCGGUCAUAAU
rnacentral:RNase_P_RNA from 1 species